rnacentral:lncRNA from 1 species
CAAAGAACAAGAGAAGAUCAGAAGUAUUUUCUGCUUCUGCUGUCUCCUUAAUUUUCAAGAUGACAUAUUUUGGGGUACCAUUUCCUGUACCUCAUUAUAUGCAAACUCAUUUUUAGAGGGCAAUUUCUAGUUCUUCCUCAGGUAAAACCUGAGCUGCUCAAGAACAUGCUUACUAAAUCUUUUUGCUUGAUUUAAGAUUCUCAUUUCAUAUGUAAGCUAUUUAACAUACCAUCCUCUCUGGCCUAGUCUACACUUACUGUUUCAAAGUUUUACAUUUAAUCCCCAUGACAACUCUAUGAAGUAGAUCUAAUUUUCAUUUCCCUUUUAUGGACGAAAAUCUGUGACACAUAGAAGUUGAGUGACUUGUCCAGAAAGUGAAAGGAAGGAGGAUUCAAGCCCAUGUUGUCUAGCUCCCUUUAGGCAGCCCCAUGUAUUGCACUGGACUCCCCCUGAUAUAAGCACAGGACUGGAGUGCCCAAGCAAAGAAUUUUAAUUCUGUUCCAGGAACCUAGAGGGCAGUGAGUCAUCCCAGCCACUAGAGUGGCAAGUGUGACACCUGCUACUUACUGUAAAGGUGCUUUGACCAUGAAGCAAGCACUGGAGCUGUCACCAAAAGAUUUCCUUAACUUCGAGGUGAAUGAGGCUCUUGACAAACAUCAUAGAAAAAAAAUUAAGGACCUUAACUCAGGAUGAGUGGGACUCUUGACAAACAUCACAGAAAUGAAUUUAAGGAUCUUAACUCAGGAUGAGUGGGGCUCUUGACAAACAUCACAGAAAUUAAUUUAAGGACACAUCAGUAAGAGACAUAGAGAUUUAUUAGGAGAGACACAUUUAAGGAAGAAUGCUGGCUAUCGAGAGUGAGAUGCUUUGGAGGUUCUAGGGGAAACCUGGUCAGGGACUGUUGGGAAAAGUAUAAACGGCAGCCAUACCCCAGAGAAAAACCCCAACAUGGCGCCUAAGGACUUCUUCUUCCUAUCUUCUUCUUUUCUGCAGUGGCGCGAAAAGUUCCCGCCCGUGUGAACUCUCCCGCCAGCGCCAAUUUCAAAUCUCGCUGGCGGGGAACCUUAGCCCCAAUGAGAACUAAUUCCUGGGCUCCGGAGCUGAUAUCUGAAAGAACUUGCCAAUAAACGGGUUGCCUGCCAUUUAUCUAAGCCCUACCAUCUCC